UACGUAGGGUGCAAGCGUUGUCCGGAAUUAUUGGGCGUAAAGAGCUCGUAGGCGGUCUGUCGCGUCGGCUGUGAAAACCCGGGGCUCAACCUCGGGCCUGCAGUGGGUACGGGCAGACUAGAGUGCGGUAGGGGAGAUUGGAAUUCCUGGUGUAGCGGUGGAAUGCGCAGAUAUCAGGAGGAACACCGAUGGCGAAGGCAGAUCUCUGGGCCGUAACUGACGCUGAGGAGCGAAAGCGUGGGGAGCGAACAGG
rnacentral:rRNA from 1 species